rnacentral:lncRNA from 10 species
CCGGUGGGAGAUAAAUGAAUCAUAAGAGCAGUUUCCCCUAUACUGUUUUUGUGGUAGUGAAUAAGUCUCAUGAGAUCUGAUGGUUUUAUAGAGUCCUGCCAAUGAGAUGUAGACAGAAGUCUACUGAGACUGGCUUCUUUUCACCAACAAAAAGACAAAGCCCUUCAAGGAGAAGUCUUUAGGCCUAAUUGCCUCAUUUUUGCCUGGAACAUGGAUGUGAUUUCUGGAGGCGCACCAGCCACUGCAGGGCCCUGUUCAUAAAUUAUGGAUGCUCACAUGUGCAAAGUUAAAGGGCCACAUCUGGUGAGGGCUUUCUUGCUGGUGAGGAUUCUCUGAAGAGUAUUGAGGCAGCAGAGGACAUCACAUGAAGCAGUGGCACAUAAGGGAAGUUUCCUUCUCUUUGGGGAAUCAUAAAUAAAAUAGUGGUGUAAUCAAGGACAGAAGAAAAAAGAGACUUCAGACAGAUUUCUUCCGAGUCACCGGUGGGAGCUUCCCAGGGAGAUGCGGCUUUAUUCCCUCAUGGCAGACAGGAGGAGGAUGCUGAGCGGGAGCUGAUGCCACCUGGCAGCAAUGGUGGCACAGACUGCUGGAGAGGCACAGAUUGGAACCCAAGCCUCAUCAGACGGCAGCUGUGACAGCGGCAUAUUUCAAAAAUGUAUUGCAAAUUUCACACAAGGGGUCUUUAAAAAAAUUUGAAAGUCUCCUUGGCUUUCACAGACUUUUAAUUAAGAGAGAACUCCUCUUCUUUGAAAAUCAAAACACUUUUUGCCUAUUUUAUGUAUCUAAAGGUAGAUGGGAACUUACAGCCACAUUUAAAAAAUUUGCAGUUGAUUAUGUGGUUUUCAAAUUUAAUAACCUACUAUGAAUAAUUAACUCAACAAGAAGAAAAGGGCACAUUGGCACCUCACAAUUAAAAGAGUAAGAGUGAAAUUAU